AGGAGGGCAAGGGUUGGCUAACAACUUACAAAUUCUAAUCCACAGCCUGUAAUCUGAAGAUUGGGUCAGUCAUAAUCUGAGUGGAAACGCUUCUACUUCCUUUUUUGACAAAAUGCAGCAGAGAUGACGUGGUGUAACUUCCAAGCCUGAGCUUUAUAAGAUCGGCAGAUUCCACUUUUAUGUGCUUGGAAUGUUCCAUCUCAGAGCCCUGCUGUCAUGCUGGGAGAAGCCACAAGGAGGAUACUUGAGGUGCUCCAAUGAACAGCUUCAGGUGAACUCCAAGUCAACAGGCAGGACCAGAUACUGCUAUGUGAAUGUGUCAUCUUGGACAUACCAGCUCAAUCUGUCCUCCAAACAACUGCAGUGUCUGCCAGCAACACGUGGAACAGAAAACCAUCCAGCUGAUCCCAGUCAACCUUCAGAAUUGUGAAAGAUAAUAGCUAGUUUCUGUUUCAAGCCACUGAGUUUUGGGGUAGUUUUGUUAUGCAGUAAUAGAUAACCAGACACAGUUCUCUCUCCAUGGGCUCUUUCCAGAUUAUAUAUGUAACUUGUAUCUCU